AUGUUGUAUGGCGCGGAGUGUUGGCCGACUAAAAGACGACAUGUUCAACAGUUAGGUGUGGCGGGGAUGCGUAUGUUGAGAUGGAUGUGUGGCCACAUGAGGAAGGAUCGAGUCCGGAAUGAUGAUAUACGAGAUAGAGUUGGGGUAGCACCAAUUGAGGAGAAGCUUGUCCAACAUCAUCUGAGAUGGUUUGGGCAUAUUCAGCGCAGGCCUCCAGAAGCUCCAGUGCAUAGCGGACGGCUAAAGCGUGUGGAGAAUGUCAAGAGAGGGCGGGGUCGACCGAAUUUGACAUGGGAGGAGUCCGUUAAGAGAGACCUGAAAGAUUAG
rnacentral:rRNA from 1 species